GACUCAGCCAUCAGCGGGGACGACGUCGCCACUGUACGAGCUGCUCCGUCUAGCAAUCUUCCGACGGAAUCACGGCAAACACAGGCGACCGAACCGUCCGAUGCUCCAGAUGGCUUGGUUGCGCGCCUUCCAUAUAUUCCAUAGUGUUGCAGCAACCAGCUCUAGAUUAGGUGAGUUGCUUGACUUUCCUUUCAAACUCCCGAACCAAUCUUCAAUUCGAGUAAGACCCUGACUUGAUAUAUGAACAUUCAGCACAGGGUUCGACCAAAUUUCCUUCGUCCAAGGACACGAUAAAAACAGGUGCUCCACAGUUUCCACUCCUCGAUUGCAUAAAGAGCAUGUGGGAUCA